CCAUAUGCUUGUCUCAAAGAUUAAGCCAUGCAGGUCUGAGUACGGCCUCUAGCAAACAGGCGAAACCGCGAAUGGCUCAUUAAAUCAGUUAUGGUUCCUUAGAGCUUACGUUGUCUAUACUUGGAUAACCGUGGUAAUUCUAGAGCUAAUACAUGCACCGAAGCUCCGACUAAUCGAACCGGAAACGGGGAGAUUCACGACGAGCGCUUUUAUUAGACCGCAAAGACCGUUCCGUCUGUCCGGGUCUUCGGAUUCGGAGGGACGCGUUUGCGUGGUGACUCUGGAUAACCAAGCCGAUCGGCCAUUUUAAACCGUUGCCGCAAGGCUUCGAUUGAGUGGCCGACGCAACUUUCAAGUGUCUGCCUUAUCAACUUUCGACGGUAGGUCAAAUGCCUACCGUGGUGAUAACGGGUGACGGGGAAUCAGGGUUCGAUUCCGGAGAGGAAGCCUGAGAAACGGCUACCACAUCCAAGGAAGGCAGCAGGCUCGCAAAUUACCCACUCCCGGCACGGGGAGGUAGUGACGAAAAAUAACGAUGCGGGACUCGGUCGAGACCCCGCCAUCGGAAUGAGUACACUCUAAAUCCUUUAACGAGGAUCCACCGGAGGGCAAGUCCGGUGCCAGCAGCUGCGGUAAUUCCGGCUCCGGUAGCAUAUGCUAAAGUUGCUGCGGUUAAAAAGCUCGUAGUUGGAUUUCAGUCUCGGCCGUCCGGUGUCGCCCGUGUUGGCGGCUCUCGUUGACGGUCGGUCAUAAGUGCCGUCUCCCCGUCGGAUGAUCUUAACCGGUCGUCCGCUGAGGGCGACGACGGCAAGUUUACUUUGAAAAAAUCAGAGUGCUCAGAGCGGGCCCAUUAUUAGCCCGUACGCCCGUGCAUGGAAUAAUGGAAGACGGCCUCGGUUCAAGUCUGUUGGUCCUUUUCGAACCUCAGAGGCAAUGAUUAAGAGGAACGGCCGGGGGCGAUCGUACCGCGACGCUAGAGGUGAAAUUCUUGGACCGUCGCGUGACGCUCUACAGCGAAAGCAUUCGUCAAGAACGCUUCCGUUAAUCAAGAACGAAAGUCAGAGGUUCGAAGGCGAUCAGAUACCGCCCUAGUUCUGACCGUAAACGAUGCCGACCAGCGAUCUGGCUGCGCUCGCCACGACGAGGCGCCAGGAAGCUUUCCGGGAAACCAGAGUCUCUGGGUUCCGGGGGAAGUAUGGUUGCAAAGCUUAAACUUAAAGGAAUUGACGGAAGGGCACCACCAGUUGUGGAGCCUGCGGCUUAAUUUGACUCAACACGGGGAAACUCACCCGGCCCGGACACGGGAAGGAUUGACAGACUGAUUGCUCUUUCUUGAUUCUGUGGUUGGUGGUGCAUGGCCGUUCUUAGUUGGUGGAGUGAUUUGUCUGGUUGAUUCCGAUAACGAACGAGACUCUAGCCUGCUAAAUAGCGAGCUUUCUUACUUGGGGCUUCGGCUCGUAGUCGCUUGCACUUUCUCUUUCGAGGCGUUUCUCGAAACCGGGAUGCUUCGCGGACGUCGGGGCUUCGGCUCCGGCUAAUCCGCGGGCGAUCUUUCUCGGCGUAGGGAUUCGUCGAGAUCGGGAUUCGUGCGGGGUUGCGGGUGGCGGAAGCCGCCUAAAAGCUCCGGAAUCUCUUCUUAGAGGGACAAGCGACGCAUUAAAGUCGCGCGAGGAAGAGCGAUAACAGGUCUGUGAUGCCCCUAGAUGUCCGGGGCCGCACGCGCGCUACACUGACGCCCACAGCGAGCGCGCAUUCCCGGUCCGAAGGGAUCGGGGAACCCCAUGAACGGACGUCGUGAUGGGGACAGGAGAUUGGAAUUGUUCUCCUCGAACGAGGAAUAUCAAGUAAGCGCGAGUCACUAACUCGCGCUGAUUACGUCCCUGCCCUUUGUACACACCGCCCGUCGCUACUAUCGAUUGAACGGUUCGGUGAGGUCCUCGGACUGGCUUACGUCGAGGGCGGUGAAACUCCGUCUUUGGCGGUAGCCGGAAAGUCGAUCGAACCGAUUCGUUUAGAGAAAGUAAAAGUCGUAACAAGGUUUCC
rnacentral:rRNA from 2 species